UCUCCAUGAUGAUCAUGCUUUCGAGCCACUGUGUCUGGGCCACUGAUGCCUGUGAUGGAGCUGAGGAUCUGAGCCG
ensembl:snoRNA